rnacentral:piRNA from 1 species
UGGCCACUUAGUGCGAUUUCAUGCCAG